GAUGAACGCUGGCGGCGUGCCUAAUACAUGCAAGUCGAGCGAACGGACGAGAAGCUUGCUUCUCUGAUGUUAGCGGCGGACGGGUGAGUAACACGUGGAUAACCUACCUAUAAGACUGGGAUAACUUCGGGAAACCGGAGCUAAUACCGGAUAAUAUUUUGAACCGCAUGGUUCAAAAGUGAAAGACGGUCUUGCUGUCACUUAUAGAUGGAUCCGCGCUGCAUUAGCUAGUUGGUAAGGUAACGGCUUACCAAGGCAACGAUUCAUAGCCGACCUGAGAGGGUGAUCGGCCACACUGGAACUGAGACGCGGUCCAGACUCCUACGGGAGGCAGCAGUAGGGAAUCUUCCGCAAUGGGCGAAAGCCUGACGGAGCAACGCCGCGUGAGUGAUGAAGGUCUUCGGAUCGUAAAACUCUGUUAUUAGGGAAGAACAUAUGUGUAAGUAACUGUGCACAUCUUGACGGUACCUAAUCAGAAAGCCACGGCUAACUACGUG
rnacentral:rRNA from 1 species